ensembl:snRNA U6 U6 spliceosomal RNA
GUGCUUGCCUCGGCAGCACAUAUACUAAAAUUGGAACGAUACAGAGAAAACUAGCAUGGCCCCUGCGCAAGAAUGAUACGCAAAUUCGUGAAGCGUUCCGUAUUUUA